GCUUUUCAUUGGGGAGCUCAUGAAGCAGUCUGAGCGGUACAUUGACGAAGGUAUGCAUCCCCGAGUAUUGGUAGAUGGAUUUGAUAUUGCUAAAAGGGCCAUUCUUGAAUUUCUUGAGAAGUUUAAGACCCCUGUUGUGAUGGGUGAGACACCGGAUAAGGAGAUACUAAAGAUGGUGGCGAGGACAACGCUGAGGACAAAGUUGUACGAAGCAUUAGCUGAUCAGUUGACUGAUAUUGUUGUGAACUCAGUACUCUGCAUACGCAAACCCGAUGAGGCUAUUGAUCUGUUUAUGGUGGAGAUAAUGCACAUGCGUCAUAAGUUUGAUGUUGAUACACGCCUGGUUGAGGGUCUUGUCCUUGAUCAUGGUUCUCGGCAUCCUGAUAUGAAACGGAGGGCAGAGAAUUGCUAUAUCUUGACAUGCAAUGUUUCUUUGGAGUACGAUAAAA
rnacentral:misc_RNA from 1 species